GAGGAAUAUUGCGCAAUGGACGAAAGUCUGACGCAGCAACGCCGCGUGCGGGAUGAAGGCCCUUUGGGUCGUAAACCGCUGUAGCAGGGGAAAAAUUUCCACCUCGGGUGGAUUGAUGGUACCCUGAAAGUAAGCCUCGGCUAACUACGUGCCAGCAGCCGCGGUAAUACGUAGGAGGCGAGCGUUGUCCGGAUUUACUGGGUGUAAAGGGUCCGCAGGCGGGUUGAUAAGUCGGUGGUGAAAUCCUUCAGCUUAACUGAAGAACUGCUUCCGCUACUGUCAAUCUUGAAUACGGGAGAGGGUGACGGAAUUCCAGGUGUAGCGGUGAAAUGCUUAGAUAUCUGGAAGAACACCAGUUGCGAAGGCUGUUGCCUGGCCCGUUAUCGACGCUCAUGGACGAAAGCGUGGGGAUCAAAC
rnacentral:rRNA from 1 species